AGCACCUAAAAGCGUUUUCUUGCCAGCCCAAUAAAUGCUCUUGAAAAUCGUUGAUGUGUGCCAGACAAAACUUCUCGCAACAGCAAAGUGAUCGGAGUUCCAUUCAUUGAUGACUCUGGUCCGUUUACGUUGUGAACACCA
rnacentral:snoRNA from 15 species